GCCCCUGUGGCGGAAGUGGUAGACGCGGCAGACUCAAAAUCUGUUGUCGGCAACGACGUGCCCGUUCAAGUCGGGCCAGGGGCACCA
rnacentral:tRNA from 1 species